rnacentral:tRNA from 1 species
GUUCUUGUAGCUUACACAAAGCGUGGCACUGAAGAUGCCAAGACGGGUGCUACCAAGCCCCCACGG